GACGAACGCUGGCGGCGUGCUUAACACAUGCAAGUCGAGCGGUAAGGCCCUUUCGGGGGUACGACGAGCGGCGAACGGGUGAGUAACACGUGGGUGACCUGCCCUUAGCUCUGGGACAAGCCUGGGAAACUGGGUCUAAUACCGGAUAUGACUCCAUGACGCAUGUUGUGGGGUGGAAAGCCUUGUGCGGCUAGGGAUGGGCCCGCGGCCUAUCAGCUUGUUGGUGGGGUGAUGGCCUACCAAGGCGACGACGGGUAGCCGGCCUGAGAGGGCGACUGGCCACACUGGGACUGAGACACGGCCCAGACUCCUACGGGAGGCAGCAGUGGGGAAUCUUGCGCAAUGGGCGAAAGCCUGACGCAGCGACGCCGCGUGAGGGAUGACGGCCU
rnacentral:rRNA from 1 species